GCACAGCAAUCUUCAGAUGACACUGGAGGCUUCUGCUCCCUCAAGACCAGCACUUCCAGACACUUCUACUAAUCCUCCAGAAAUAGAGGAAGAUGAGGAAUUGGAGAGGAUGAUGCUUUGUUGGUCCCCUUCCAAAACCGAAGGCCCGAUGAGUUUGCAAGUUGUUGGAGUCCAUGAUGCUAAAGGUUCUUUCCCUUCAAUUAUGGAG